GAGGGGCAGAUGGGCACUGUGUGCCUUAAGAUGGGAUGCCCCGAGAGGCAUCCCACGUGACGCAGGUAGUGGUUCAGCCACCUGGAAUGCAAAACCAAAUCUAAUCACGAGGAAAUCGCAGACCAACACACAUAAGCAGCAACACCUAAAACGAACUGUAUCCUUACAAACUGUUCCUAUCAUCAGAGACAAAGCUACGGAAAUGAUCCAGAUUAAAGAAGACCAAGGAGACAUGACAACUCAGUUGAUUACCUGAUCCAGACCGGAUCCAGCACCGCAGAGGGAAAGGUGCUAUAGAGGACACAAUGCGGCCAAUGGGAAUAUGAGUGGUGAGGUAUUCUAUCAGUGUUAGAUGGAUGGAAUUUGACAACUGUACUGCAGUCGCCAGAGAGUAUCUUCUUCUUGCUGACUGAGCCAGAAACCUGAGACUCAUCCUAGAUGAGUCUUCUCCCUUCUCUGUCCCACGUCCAAUCACUGAUCGAAUUCCACUACCGUCCUGCCUCCAAACAGCCAGAAUCCACCGCUCACUACCACCCCCAACAGUGCCCUGCUGCCCACUGCUAAGCUCUCUCAACUGCUACGCCAGCCUAACUGAAGCCCAGUCACGCCAAUUCAUCCUGGCUCCAGCAUGGCCGGCUUGCAUCACCACCUUCUUCUCAGUUCACCUUCCAAAUCAAACCUCUGAAGAGCUGCUUCCACCUACAAGUCAGGUCUCACCUCCAUAGGAUGUUCCAUAAGACACUAGAGGACCUGGGUUUUCCUGUUUCUCCAACUUCUUUCCCCAGCCUUGGAUUUUAAGCUCCCUGCACACACAAUUUUGUUUCACACUCUUGUGUACCAACUUUCAACAAAGCCUAUCCAGCCUCCAAGCUUGCACAUCUCCAGGGAGUCACCCCUGACCUCUCCGGGACUCCCCUUUGGACUCCCAUUCUAUUACUACAACCACUGCACCGUUUGAAAAUUAUCUGCUCCUAUGUAUGUCUCCUAUACUAGGACUCCAAACUCCUUGAAGACAAGGACAGUAUCGCCACUGUAUCCCCAGUGCCUUGCACAAAGUAGAGUUCUAUAUUUCUAGGAUAUACUGGACUGAAAGCAUUUAUGGUUUUUUGAAUAUCAAGGCCUUUAGAAUCUGGCAACAGCUAUAAGGAAAACACAUGCAAAUCAUGAUGAACUAUAGACAGCACCAACAAAGAAAACACGACACUGCUGCUCUGGAACUGAAAUAUCCCCAAAAUAAUGAAAAAUGACAUGUUGGGGGCUGAUAUAGAGUUUAUUGAAUUAGAUUUUUCUAUUUACAACUGAGAUCACGUCUACAUACUAUUUUGCUAGUCUACAUGGGUACAUUAUUUCCAACAAGCUUAAGACUUACCAUGAAUGGGCUCAUUCAUACAAAAACACACUCACACUAAUUCUUUUAAAACAGUAGUGCAUACACUAUACUCCUCCUAUAAAGCCAGCUUUGAUUAAAAACCACUAGUUUCAAAGAUCAGUCUCUGAUUUUGAAGAUGAACCAAGAUAUACAUCGUAUGAUUCUAAAAUCUUUUUUAGUCAUUUUGUACAGCUGCUAUCUUAUUGGACUACAGUAAAUAUUUUUUAAAAGGACACUGAUGAGGGGCACCAUCUGGUGUCAACCUUAGCCAGAUAGCUGGUUUCCUCCUCCUUCCCCAAAAAACCUUUGGCCAAGAGUUCUCCACUGUGAAGACUGAAAGGACCUGGUGACGUUUCGGCAUCAGUCUUGUUACCACUUGGAGGUAACAGAAGCAGGCUCGUGUCCUCCUUUAAUUCUACCACACUACAUGACUUGUGAUUGGUUCUGAAAUUAGAACAUUCACCAUCGUACUUAAAAUUUUAGGGGCAUGAAGAGUCAGCUAGAACAAGGAAAAAGGAAGUUGCAGGUAGGUAGGUAAGUAGGUGAGCACAUGAAAAGCCAAGCUGCUCUGUCCAACACCAGUGUACAUGUGCUAUAACUAAAUGAACUCAGGAGGCCAACAGCAGCAGACCUGCUCAAUUCACCUUCCAAAUCAGAA